UUUUCCUUCUUUAACUGAGGGGUACCAACAAUUUUGUCCACGUGUGUAGACCCUGUUACUACGAUAACUGAACCAGAGCUUAAGUUACCUCUCUCUGUGAAACAUGCUAGAGUUGCAUCUCUUUCUUUAGUUUGAGUUACCGCCCUUUUUGAAACAGAAAACUCUGAAUUUCCCUCAUUUCAAGUUUAAGAGACUCAGAGUUUUCACUAAACCUGCUUUGUGAAACAGACCCCUGGAAUAUAGUGAUUCUCAAAGCACCAUACAUGCUUGAGGUAUCAGAAAUAUUAGAAUGGUGGUGGCCAGUGAAGAUGUACACUAUUUUUGGUUUAUUGCCAAAAGCAUUCGCUCACCCAUCCAAAUAAUCAGAAUCAGGUGUUCCAAUCAUAAAUAUUGUACAAUAUUGACAGAAAGUAUAUGGUAUAUAACCCUUUUUUUUUCUUUUCCAUGAGCAAGAUGAAAAUAAUCUUAAGUGCCUUUAAAUGCUGUACAUGGAAACAAAUAAUUGCCUUUGGCAACACAGUAGUCUUCUACUGUAUGCAUCACUGAGUAGGAAUGUUAUUUUGUUCACACUUUAUAUCAAGUAGUAUGAUAGUUAUUUUGUAAUUAUUUCAAUGACUUCAAGACAUAUCGUUAAGCAUGGACACAGGUGUAUAAAAUCAAGCACCUAGGCAUGCAGACUGCUUUUACAAACAUUUGUGAAAGAAUGGGUCACUCUCAGGAGCUCAGUGAAUUCCAGCGUGGAACUGUGAUAGGAUGCCACCUAUGCAACAAAUCCAGUCAUGACAUUUCCUCACUCCUAAAUAUUCCACAGUCAGCUGUCAGCUGUAUUAUAAGAAAGUGGAAGUGUGUCGGAACGACAGCAACUCAGCCACGAAGUGGUAGGCCACUUAAACUGACGGAGCGGGGUCAGGGGAUGCUGAGGCGCAUAGUGCCAAGAGGUCUCCAACUUUCUGCAGAGUCAAUUGCUACAGACCUUCAAACUUCAUGUGGCCUUCAGAUUAGCUCCAGAGCAGUGCUUCAGCAGAGAGCUUCAUGGCCAUGCAGCUGCAUCCAAGCCAUACAUCACCAAGUGCAAUGCAAAGUGUCAGAUGCAGCGGUGUAAAGCACGCUGCCACUGGACUCUAGAGCAGUGAAGACGCGUUCUCUGGAGUGACGCAUUGCACUUCUCCAUCUGGCAAUCUGAUGGAUGAGUCUAAUUUUUUCAGUUGCCAGGAGAACGAUACUUGUCGGACUGCAUUAUGCCAAGUGUAAAGUUUGGUGGAGGGGGGAUUAUGGUGUGGGGUUGUUUUUCAGGACCUGGGCGUGGCCCCUUAGUUCCAAUGAAAGGAACUCUGAAUGCUUCAGAACACCAAGACAUUUUGGACAAUUCCAUGCACCCAACUUUGUGGGAACAGUUUGGAGCUGGCCCUUUCCUCUUCCAACAUGACUGUGCACCAGUGCACAAAGCAAGGUCCAUAAAGACAUGGAUGACAGAGUUUGGUGUGGAUCAACUUUACUGGCCUGCACAGACUCCUAACCUCAACCCGAUAGAACACCUUUGGGAUGAAUUAGAGUGGAGACUGAGAGCCAGGCCCUCUCAUCCAACAUCAGUGUGUGACCUCACAAAUGUGCUUCUAAAAGAAUGGUCAAAAAUUCCCAUAAACACAUUCCUAAACCUUGUGGACAGCCUUCCCAGAAGAGUUGAAGCUGUUAUAGCUGCAAAAGGUUGACUGACAUCAUAUUGAACCCUAUGGUUUAGGAAUAGGAUGUCACUUACGUUCAUAUGCGAGUCAAGGCAGGUGAGUGAAUACUUUUGGUAAUAUAAAAAAAUUACAGACAGCCAAAAGCCAGGAAGCAAACAGUGUCACAAGCUAUUUUGAAGUAAAGGAGGAAAAAUCUCAAACUCAUCUAAGCACUUGAAAGACAAACAGUAGGACUUGCACACUUGAGGUGCAAUGAAUAAUCAACAUACCCAGCUAAAAUCAAUGACCUAAUUAGUUGUCAAGAAGUCGUUCCAUGUGUUCUUAGCACUGACCUGGGAGUGUUUUGACAUGUAAAUAAUACAGCUUACUGAAGUCAAGAGUGGCACUAUCCAAUGUGAAUUACUGGUAUGAUUAUAUAAAAGGAGGUAGUUUGGUUGCAGUCAGAUACACUAUAUUGCAUUAUCUAAUAUCUGUGACUCAGCCAAAUUUGGAGAGAUGGAGUGCAGUUGGUGAGCACCUUGUUGUCAGUGCAGCCAGUCAAGUUGUCCUCUAAGUUGUCACAAACUAAAGGGUCCAACCUGCAAUCAGUCUGUUGCUAGCCUCAAAAGAUGCACUUAGUGGCAGGGCUGUUACAGCCAUUAGCUCAUCAACACAUCCACCAAGUUUUUAUCACCUGUCUCUAUACCUCCCCUCUCUGUGUGCAGGUCAUUCCACAUGAGAGCAUAUUUCCACACCACUGAGUUUAAUGAUUUUUCAACAUAACAUAAUAAAGCUUGGUAUCUGCAACUGCAGUGUUGUGGCAGCAAUUCAUGUAAAUCACAAAAAUAUGCAAAGGCUAUAUUACAGAAGUACACAACCUGCAUUGUCAUUGUCUUCAUAGAAUAGUUAAAACAUGUCUAAAAUAAUCUCAAGCAAAAAUUUAACACUAAACAAAAGCUGUUACAUAAUUCAUCCAUCCAUCUAUCCAUUCUCUAUACACCGCUUUAUCCUCACUAGGGUUGCGGGGGGUGCUGGAGCCUAUCCCAACUGACUCGGGCGAAGGCAGGGGACACCCUGGACAGGUUGCCAGUAUGUCGCAGGGCUACAUAUACAGACAAAAAAAUCACUCUUGCAUUCACACCUACGGGCAUUUUAGAGUAACCAAUUAACAUCAGCAUAUUUUUGGACUGUUGGAGGAAGCCGGAGUGCCCAGAGAAAACCCACGCAUGCACAGGGGAGAACAUGCAAACUCCAUGCAGAAAGAUCCCAGGCCCACCCCAGGAUUUGAACCGGGGAUCUUCUUGGUGCAAGGCAAAGGUGCUAACCACUACCCACUGUACAGCUCUAUUACAUAAUUCAGCAAUUCAUAAUCAGAAUUGCCAAUCAAAACUUGAACACUUAGCCGACAUUACAGCAGUUCCAGCAAAGCUGCCAAUUUUUACAGCCAAGAGACACAACAAAGAGUAACUGCAAACUUGGAUUUGUGAUUCAGUCCACCUGAUUAGUGUAAACUGGUUUGAUCUCAACUUUCUUCACAAUCUGUUUGGGACUUAGUUAUAUUUCAUACAAAAAGUUGCUCUCAGCAGCUUUGUGAAAAGAUUUUAUGAGGAAACUCUUUCAAGGAAACAUUAAUGCUAUUUAGGGGAACUGCUGAGGAGAAAAUAAGAUUUUAAGGGAGUACAGCUCCUGGAAUCAAGCAUUUUUAAUGGCAACUCAAUUUGUGAAAAACCCGAAAAUCAAUACUGGUACCUGGAAUCAAGGUUAUCGUAGUGAGACUGAACCACACAAUUAAAACAACUAGCAAAAAUUAACUGUAGUUGGUGAUAAUUCUGAUUUUGUCACUUUAAACAAUCCUGUACGUUUAUAGUCACAUAAACAGCAGAGAAAAGAGCAGCAAAUCUAUCCCACCAACGCAAAUAUUUGGCUCUUGGCAAAACCUGAAGCUUUCAAUUUUGUUGCUUGCAUCAAAAGUUUGACAUUUUUUUCUUUAGAAAACUGCAACAGAGAAGCCUGUGAAUGCAAGGCUCUAAAAAUUCCCUAUAAAUAUGACCUUUUGAGAACAAAUACCACUUUCACAUAAAGGGACCCUUUCUAUUUAAGCGGCAGAUGGUGUUGAAAUUAAGUCUAACAAGAUUACAAGAUAACACAGGCAGUGUUAGUGUUACUCUAUUUGACUGGCUUUGUGUCAGCAAAGCUUUAAUCCAGCUAUAAAUCAAGCAGGCUAAUUUACUGUUAGCAUGAGCAAUUUUAUUAGCUCUCAGUUUCUAAUGGGAUCUAUGACAUCUACUGUCAAAUAGAGUUCUAAAAAAGUUUGGUAAAUCAUUGAAAACAUGUAGCUCAGUGUUUCCUCUUUUCACUUAUAAAUGCUAAAUGUAAUUUAUGAUGAAAAACUUUGGCCUAUGAACUUAACCUGAUAAACCUACUUACUGAUCCCUGCCAUACACAUUGCAUGUCAUUGUUUCAUUUAAUGCUAACAAUGCAAAAAAUUAUUAAUGGAACACUGCAACAUUUAUAACUGCAGAUGUAAUGUUAUUCUGUUGUUAUUACAAUACGAUUCAGCAAUGGAGAAUGCCCCAACCAAAGUCACUCAAAAAGGUUUAGGGGGGUCAAAAAGUCAACAGGUUUUCAUUAAUGAGUUAUUACCAUUUUAAAGCAUUAAUAUAUGAGUAUUAAUAAAUGAUUAUACAGAAAUAUUUGUUAUAAAUGUUUUCCAGAUAGUGUAGCAGCAGCCCAAUCUGGAAAGCCUCAAAUGCUCCACGGAUCAUUGCCGUUGCAUAAUAUGACCAUCUGAUGUAUUCUGUGUUGUCAUGUUUACAGAGCAAACAGCUGGUUGUUUUUGAUGUGUUUUGCACAGAGUCCCAUGAGGCGGCCGGUAGACAGACGUGUCUGUGUUCUCGCACAAUGUCACAGGAUGGGCAGAUCACAGAGCGUCUGAAGUUUCAGCCAGGAAAUGUUGUCAUUGUCCGUAGGGAAUGAGACUUUGUUGCCUCUGCCAUCACAGCUCUGCAUCCUUGUCCAUGGGAAAAUGGGGUAACUGUUUGAUAUGAAUUAUCAGCUCAACAUUAAUCCACUGGCCAGUUCUUCUGUGUGUGCAAGUGUGGUCUGUCAAAGUCUAAACGGGAAAGAACUCAAAGGAAAUUGGUUAUAUUGGAAAUAUAACCAAAGGGGUCAAGACACGGCCAAAGUGCAAUCUACUAUAGAAUCCAAAUCAAGCUUUCAUACUUGAAAGCUUGAUUCAAGUAUGAAAUCAGAUGGACUUACUAGUCCAUCUGAUCUGAUACUGUUCAUGUUUUAUUCACUGAAAAACUAAACCAACACAACACCUUAGUUACUUUUCUAUCUAUUCACUUCAGUCUACCACAGAACAGUCAGAGCUCAGAUGAGCAAAUUCAUGAGUAACAAGAAACUGAACUAACUGGACAAACUCCAUACAGGCCAGUACAGGGGUGUUACUGCUUUUCCAUCUGCCUCACUUCUUCCAUAGGCCUCCAAGUCAUUGACUCAUUUUCAAAUUUCUUACAUCUAUCUGGCCACUGGCAGCCCUGGAUGUUUCCUCAAGAAAAGUCCAGCCAGAGGAACAUAAGUAUCAGCAAGUUUCUCUUUAAUGUCUGACGCUCCAUGUCCUCUCCUACGGUCUGCAUAUCUUUUUUUGUUGUUGUUUGUUUUAAAGUUGUUUUUUUUUUGGUGUUUAUUAUAGUGCACAACGGAGAGAGAGACAGGAAACAUGGGGAGAAGAGUGGGGGAAAGACAGUAAAUGGCCGUGGGUCGGACUUGAACCCAUGAUCACUGUGUUGGGGACUAUAGGCCCUGUUUAUGGGUUACAGUCAACCUAUUAAGCAACAGGGUCACCCAAGGUCUGCAUUUCUAACUACAGCACAGGCAAAUUUUACCGUGGUGUCACAGGGAACAACAGAGUAAUGUGUUAAAAUUUUAUGUCUUUACCAAAUACAAAAAUCAGAUCCACCAAUUUUGUUCCUAAACCACAUUUUUUUAGAUGCAGAACAGUCAGAUCAAACUGAAUUUUAAAAAAUAACAAACACUAGAUGAUAAAAGUACUCCCAAUUUAUAUAUGGUAUAACAGUGGUAUUUAACUGCAGGAGAUGGCAAAUCAAAUCACUGACCAUUACACAUUAAAAAAAAAAUAAACCAGAUGUCAGAUUUUCAGCAAGAGAAAAGAGAAUUCUACUUUCUGCAGUUCACAGAUAAACAUAAGAUCCAUUUGUGUUUCCUCUAAACAGGGUUCCAAAACUCAUUUCAUUUAAAGAAACUGAGUGUACAUCAUCCAACAUGCCCACCUAUAAUGUAUGAUAAUGUAUUCUUUCUGAUCUUAACUUCUAUCCAACUGGGUCACUGCUGUGUCGAGCAAUGCUGUCGACAAAACUACAAAAUAUAAAAAAAUCUGGCACUCAUCCAACAAACUGGACAGGCAGAAUCGACAGUGUUGACAACAACAGAGGCCUCCAGGGCAAAAUGUGUUGGCUGCAUGUGGCAAGCAUGAGAGUAUUCCACUUUCCCAUUUUUGUAUGUCAAUCCUCCAGAAAAGCAGCAGUUUUUGUCACAUUCCUGAUGAGUACUUUGUUUUUGAGGCAUGUUCACAGUGUGUAAUAAGCAAAUGACUACAUGAUGUAUCUGUGCAUGUACAGUUGGGCACACAAUGCAGUGCUCUUUUCAUAUAUGUGCAUGGAGAGUAAGUCCAAAACGUUGCAGCGAUAGCAGCAUCGUCUAUCAUUGCAAUCAUCAGCAAAAGGGCUAUUAACAGACACUCUAAUCAUUACUAGCCAACUGCUCAACAAUCUCUAAUUGCUUGAAACAUUUUCAUCAUAAGCAAUAGAUAUGUAAAAUGGUAUUUGUGUGUCAGGGCCCCCUCCUCCUCCUCUGCUCCCACCUGACAUCCCUCUCUCCCUUUUCCUUCUCUCUCUCCCUCCCCUUCUCCUCCUCGCUCUCUCUGCUGUUGCUGAAGCAGAGUAUGGCUGUCUCCGCUCAGCUGUGUGGGCAACUGUGUGUCAUCUCCUGUGAUUACUCCCCAGCAAUAAGAACCAGUCUCACCUUCCACACCCUGCCAGAUCGUAAACUCUGCUCACGCAUCGACCCAGCUGCCCGGACUCCCUCUCACUCCGCCUGAUUCCUCGUGUCCUAAUCCGGAUCUCCUCCUCGGCCCCCCACCCGAACGAUCAGUCCGCCAAGCCGCCCUGAUGUCCCAGAAUCCCCUGUGCCUCGUCCCCUCCCUCCUGGAACCCAAGCCCCCUGUCUGCUCCCCGCCGCCGGGCUUCCGCCUGCUCUCUGCCACCACACCCCCGUCCUCCCAGUGCUCCAACCGGCCACUGAUCCCCGGCCCCGCCGCUCCGUCCCCAGUCCACUCCUCACCUCCCCUUUCUGGUUCCCCUCACCAUCCCCUCAUCCCUCCUCACUCCCCUCCGACCCCCUCUGACUCUAUUAAAGCCUGUCACAUUCAGCCCCAGCCUCUGCUGUGUGUUCUCUGCUCGGGUUCGCCAAACCGGUCCUUAACAUUGUGAAAUUUUUUGCUUGAUAUAUCAAGUACUUUGAGACAUUUUUCAAAAAAUAAUUGCCAGUUGAUCCUUUACAUUUCGUUUGGAGUAACGAAAAGUUUCGUUACUCCAAACAUUUAUAUUCGAAGCAAUGUUUGGAGGACUAUAUCCCAUUAACUAUUCAGUCCCUCCAGGAUUUCGCGGGUGUUUUUCAAGAUCGUUGUGGCCUAAAAUGCAUGAAUUCGCUGCAGCUUUUCUAAAAAAAAAACUGUGAUGCAAGUUGCGAUGUUUUAAGUGUAUUUGUUGCAAUGAAAUUGCGGGAGACAGUGAUAAAAAGAUGCAUUUUUUUUCCCAACUUUUAGAACAUGUUUGAACAUUUUGAUUGACAAUAUUUAUUUUAAAACUAAUUCUUUAAGAUUGUUCUGUUUCAGGUGAUAAUAUUUCUGUUACAAUUCAAAAAGUCAUUGCUUAUAUCUGUUUUCAGUCAUUUAAAUGCAUUUUUGUAGAGAAGAGAGAGCUUACUGCACAACAGCACCACCUACUGGUAGUUUUUAGUUCAGCUGUCUAUGUUUUGUUCAUUUUGAAUCAAAACUUUAUUCAGGAAGUAACUGGUAGAAGUUGACAGUGCAUGAAGUAAUCAGUAGCUUCGGCAUACGUGACGUUGUGAUUGUAUCGUCGUUUCACACUUUGCUUUGUUCAAUAAACCUGUUGAACUACG